rnacentral:lncRNA from 1 species
GCUUAACCCCUCGCUGCCCGGCGCGCUCCCGCCUCCCGCGCCGAGGAAGUGGGACCGCGGAGGGGGCGGGGAGGCACGGGGCGGGGCGGAGCGGCGGACGGACAAAGCCCACGGCCGGCAGCGGGCGUCUCCUCACGCUCGCUGCGCCCUGAAGUGCUGUGCUGGGGACGCAGCUGGGCAGCAUCUGGAUUCGCCACCCGCAGCCAUUCCGGAGCUCAGCCACGCUGGACGCGGGAGGCGAGGCCGGCUGUGGAGCCGCAGCUGUGGUGGGCGGACUCUGUGGGAAAAGCGCGAAGCCCCUCACACCGCGCUAAUCAGCUCGCUCACCUGAG